GACGAACGCUGGCGGCGUGCUUAACACAUGCAAGUCGAACGGAAAGGCCCUGCUUUUGUGGGGUGCUCGAGUGGCGAACGGGUGAGUAACACGUGAGUAACCUGCCCUUGACUUUGGGAUAACUUCAGGAAACUGGGGCUAAUACCGGAUAGGAGCUCCUGCUGCAUGGUGGGGGUUGGAAAGUUUCGGCGGUUGGGGAUGGACUCGCGGCUUAUCAGCUUGUUGGUGGGGUAGUGGCUUACCAAGGCUUUGACGGGUAGCCGGCCUGAGAGGGUGACCGGCCACAUUGAGACUGAGAUACGGCCCAGACUCCUACGGGAGGCAGCAGUGGGGAAUAUUGCACAAUGGGCGGAAGCCUGAUGCAGCAACGCCGCGUGCGGGAUGACGGCCUUCGGGUUGUAAACCGCUUUCGCCUGUGACGAAGCGUGAGUGACGGUAAUGGGUAAAGAAGCACCGGCUAACUACGU
rnacentral:rRNA from 1 species